AGUGAACGCUGGCGGUAGGCCUAACACAUGCCAGUCGAACGGCAGCACAGUAAGAGCUUGCUCUUACGGGUGGCGAGUGGCGGACGGGUGAGGAAUACAUCGGAAUCUACUUUUUCGUGGGGGUUAACGUAGGGAAACUUACGCUAAUACCGCAUACGACCUACGGGUGAAAGCAGGGGAUCUUCGGACCUUGCGGGAUUGAAUGAGCCGAUGUAGGAUUAGCUAGUUGGCGGGGUAAAGGCCCACCAAGGCGACGGUCCGUAGCUGGUCUGAGAGGAUGAUCAGCCACACUGGAACUGAGACACGGUCCAGACUCCUACGGGAGGCAGCAGUGGGGAAUAUUGGACAAUGGGCGCAAGCCUGAUCCAGCCAUACCGCGUGGGUGAAGAAGGCCUUCGGGUUGUAAAGCCCUUUUGUUGGGAAAGAAAAGCAGCAGGUUAAUACCCCGCUGUUCUGACGGUACCCAAAGAAUAAGCACCGGCUAACUUCGUG
rnacentral:rRNA from 1 species